rnacentral:rRNA from 1 species
AUGCCGCGUGCAGGAAGAAGGCCUUCGGGUUGUAAACUGCUUUUGUACGGAACGAAAAGGCUCUGGUUAAUACCUGGGGCACAUGACGGUACCGUAAGAAUAAGCACCGGCUAACUACGUGCCAGCAGCCGCGGUAAUACGUAGGGUGCAAGCGUUAAUCGGAAUUACUGGGCGUAAAGCGUGCGCAGGCGGUGCUGUAAGACAGGCGUGAAAUCCCCGGGCUUAACCUGGGAAUGGCGCUUGUGACUGCAGUGCUGGAGUGUGGCAGAGGGGGAUGGAAUUCCGCGUGUAGCAGUGAAAUGCGUAGAUAUGCGGAGGAACACCGAUGGCGAAGGCAAUCCCCUGGGCCUGCACUGACGCUCAUGCACGAAAGCGUGGGGAGCAAACAGGAUUAGAUACCCUGGUAGUCCACGCCCUAAACGAUGUCAACUGGUUGUUGGGUCUUUUCUGACUCAGUAACGAAGCUAACGCGCGAA